rnacentral:lncRNA from 1 species
AAUACAUAAAAUACUUAGGGAUAAAUUUAACAAGAAAAUGCAGAUUUAUAUAGUGAAAACUGUAAAAUAUUGUUGAAUGAAAUGCUAAAUAAAUGGUGAGAGCCCGUUUACAGAUCAAAACUUAUUACUAAGAUGACAAUAUUCCACAAACUGAUCUAUAGACUCAGUGAAAUCCCUAUUAAAUUUCAGCUGGCUUUUUUGUAGAAACUGACAAACAUCUUAAAAUUGAUAUGAAACUGCAAGGGACCCAGAAUAGCCAAAAUCAUCUUGAAAAAGAACAAAGCUGAAGGACUCACACUUCCCAAUUUCAGAAUUUACUACAAACCUAUAGUAAUCAAGACAGUUUGGUACUGGCAUAAAGACAAACACAAAUCAAUGGAAUAGAAUGGAGAUGCAGAAAUAAACUACAUUUAUUUACAAAUUUUUUUUUUUUUUUUGCAGUAGUGGGAAUCAAACCUAGGGUCUUGCGCAUACCAGGCAAGUGUUCUACCUCAAAUCUUUUUGUUUUGAGACAGAGUCUCACCAAGUUGCCCAGGCAGGCCUUGAAUUUGCCAUCCUCCUGCCUCAGCCUCCAGAGUAGCCGGGAUUACACAUGCGUGCUAUCAAACCUGGUUUCAGUUGAUUGUUUUAUGUCCCUUAAAAUGGUUUUAUUUAGAAGAGAUUGAAAAUAUAUCGCCUAAUGGUUAAACAUCUUUCCAUCUGCUGAAAAAGCACAACUUGUAUAUAAAAUUUAAGUGGCAUUGAGUAUAUUCAUUGUUGUCCAACCAGCCAUCCCCACUAUCAAUCUCCAGAAUAUUUUCAUCAUCUCAAAAUAAAAUCCUACACCCACUAAACAGCCACUUCCCAAUCACCCCAGGCUGUGAUAACCACCAUUCCAUUUUGUGUUCCUGAGUGUGUUCUAGUACUACUCAUAUAUGUAGUACUAUACGGUACUUGUGCUUUUGUGUUUGACUUAUUUCAUUUAGAAUAAUGUCUAGAAGGUUAGUCUGUGUUAUAUAUUAGAAUUUUCCUUCCUUUUAAAGCCUGAGUAAAUAUUCUGUUGUAUAUAUGUCACAUUUUGUUUGUUUAUUCCUUGAUGGGCAUUUGAGUGGUUUUCAUCUUUUGGCUAUUAUAAAUGCUAGGAACAUGAGUGUACAAAUGUUUGAGUCAGUUUUCAACUCUGUUAUGUAUGUUGUCAGAAAUGGAAUUGUUAGAUCAAAUGAUAAUUCUGUUUAAAUUUUUUUUGGAGGAAUUGGCAUACUAUUUUCCAUAGCAGCUGCACCAUUUUUCAUUCCUACUAGCAAUGUACAAGGGUUCCAAUUUCUCCACAUCCUUGCCAACAUUUGUUCAAUAUUUAAAAACUCUUUGCUUUAAAUAUAUUUUUGCCAGAACUGUGUAGCUGCAGAUUCAGGCUAACUAUGGAAAAUGUCUACCAUAUAAACUAAAUGGAAAGCCCUCAUUGGCAAAGCAAGCAGUCAAAACAGAUUUCCCUUCUGUUGGAAAAAGUCAGCCUUCAUUUUAUGUGUUUCUACAAAAAAUAUCUCAC